GAUGAACGCUGGCGGCGUGCCUAAUACAUGCAAGUCGAGCGAACGGACGAGAAGCUUGCUUCUCUGAUGUUAGCGGCGGACGGGUGAGUAACACGUGGAUAACCUACCUAUAAGACUGGGAUAACCUCGGGAAACCGUAGCUAAUACCGGAUAAUAUUUUGAACCGCAUGGUUCAAAAGUGAAAGACGGUCUUGCUGUCACUUAUAGAUGGAUCCGCGCUGCAUUAGCUAGUUGGUAAGGUAACGGCUUACCAAGGCAACGAUGCAUAGCCGACCUGAGAGGGUGAUCGGCCACACUGGAACUGAGACACGGUCCAGACCCCUACGGGAGGCAGCAGUAGGGAAUCUUCCGCAAUGGGCGAAAGCCUGACGGAGCAACGCCGCGUGAGUGAUGAAGGUCUUCGGAUCGUAAAACUCUGUUAUUAGGGAAGAACAUAUGUGUAAGUAACUGUGCACAUCUUGACGGUACCUAAUCAGAAAGCCACGGCUAACUACGUG
rnacentral:rRNA from 1 species